rnacentral:rRNA from 1 species
UACGUAGGUGGCAAGCGUUGUCCGGAUUUACUGGGCGUAAAGAGCGCGCAGGCGGUCGGAUAAGUCGAAUGUGAAAGCCCCCGGCUCAACUGGGGAGGGUCAUUCGAUACUGUUCGACUCGAAGGCAGGAGAGGGAAGUGGAAUUCCCGGUGUAGUGGUGAAAUGCGUAGAUAUCGGAAGGAACACCUGUGGCGAAAGCGGCUCACUGGCCCGGUACUGACGCUGAGGUGCGAAAGCGUGGGGAGCAAACAGG